rnacentral:SRP_RNA from 1 species
UCGUGCUAGACGGGGAGCUAGCGGUGCCCUGAAUCCCGGCAAAUGUCGGGUCGACCCGAAAUCCGCUAUAGCGGGGUCGAACGCUUCAUUAUGAGUCAGGGCUUCCAGGAUCAACAGUGAGGGUGUGAAGGGUGUUGAGGAUUGGGUCUUAUGAUGGUACCGACUAUAAACCCCGUCAGGUCCGGAAGGAAGCAGCGGUAAGUAGGAAAGGGCUGGUCAUAAGGGUGCCUGGUCUGAGUCCUCUACCUCAUUGUCCCUGAAAGAACUGACGAAGGAAGUUGCACGG